UUUUCUACUUCAGGGUUUUUCAUAAUUUCUAUAACACCUGCUUGGUAUUCAGGGUCUUUUAGUAAUGUUUUCAUUAAGGCUGUUUGUUCUUUUCCCAUACUUUUAGCAAAUUUCGAUGAGAACUCAGGGUCUUUAAAGAGCUUUUCCCAGAAUUGUUGCCCUUUGUCGGAUACCAUUGCAUCUUCAAUCGUUUUUUUUACUACUGUUUCAUCUAGUAUGAGUGCCUGUUUCAUUUUUUCAUCAGUUAACACAUCUUGAAUGGCUUUCUUGCCUUGAUCGGUUUUUAAAAUAUCAACAAUCAUUUUCUUCGUUUGAUCAUAAUCAAGUUCGGACUUUGCUUCUUUUUCUUGUGCACAUGCUACAAGUACAAGAAAUAGAAAAGAAGAAGUCAAAACGAGCAGCAUCCGUUUCAUAAGUUGGAACUCCUUUCAGCACAGUUCUCUCUUUUUAAUAUAAAUAUCUUUAAGGAAUUUAUACAUGAACAUGGCUAGCUUUUUGAAAUUGUCAUUGAUACAAUUUAAUUAGAAAUAUAAGGAUAAUGGGGGAUGUGUUGUGAAUAGCCGCAAGUGGGUACGACUAUUUUUUACGACGUUGUUUCUUGGUGGGAUUAGUACAGUCAUUAUUGGGUUUGUUUUAGAGUGGGACAAGUACGCUAAAUUUUUUCAAAAUUUCGACGGAAAGGAGAUUUUGGCAGUUUCCUUCUGGUUGAUGGGUGUAGGAUUCAUUUUUAGUGUAAUAAGUCAAAUGGGGUUCUUUGCUUAUUUAACAAUCCACCGUUUUGGACUAGGGAUGUUCCGAUCGUCUUCUUUAUGGAAUAUAGUCCAGCUCUUCUUUAUUGCAUUCGUUUUAUUUGAUUUCGUGUAUUUAAGAUCGGUAUUGAUUGCAAAUGGAGAAGUUUCAUUAGGGAAUAACAUACUUGUUGCUGGUGUGUUAUUUAUGUUUGGGGCCAUCGUUGCUUAUAUAAAAAGUAAAGAAACGAAUAAAAAGGCAUUUGUGCCAGCUUUGUUCUUUAUGGUUGUUGUAACAAUUCUGGAGUGGGUACCAGCGCUUCGGAUUAAUGAUACAGAUUGGUUAUAUUUAAUGGUGAUACCACUUUUAUUAUGUAAUGCAUAUCAGUUACUUAUAUUGCAUCGUUUAAUUGGAAAGACGAGUAAGUCGGCCUAAUUAAGAGCGUUUUUACGCAGGAUAGUUUUAUGUAUGGAAAUAUCGGGAUGAAAAAAGCUCCAUUACCUGAAUGAAAGGUAAUAGAGCUUUUUAUGUGUAAAAAAUUAUUGAACAUCUUUACUUUUCGUACUUGUGUUGGAAAUAAGUUGUGAUACGGAUAUUUGCUCAUAGCCGUCACUCUUUAAUUUCUGUAGAAGCAGUGGCAAAGCUUUAUUUGUUUGAAGGGCAGAAUCGGAUGCAUGUAAUAAGACGAUAUCUCCACCUUUUAAAUUAUUAGAGACGGUGGAAACGAUAUUGUUUACGCCAGGGUUUUUCCAAUCGUUUGAGUUAUUACUCCAAUGAACGACAGUGUAUCCGAGUGAUUCUGCUAUUUUAAGUGUUGUUUUGUUAAAGUCUCCACUAGGUGGACGCAAUAGUUUGAUUUGUUUCACACCGAGUUUUGUAAAAACAUCUUGUGCUCGCAGAAGAUCUCUUCGUAUUUCAUUUGUCUCUAGAGAAGUGUAGGACGUGUAAUUAUAACCCAUACUACCGAUUUCAUGUCCAUCUUUUAUGAUGCGUUCAACAACAUCAGGGUGCCUUUCUGCCCAUGCAGCAGAAAGGAAGAAGGUUGCAUUCUUAAUAUCUCUUUCUUUAAGCGUAUCAAGGAUUGGAAUUGCUUUUUUGUCUCCCCAACUAAUAUCAAACGUGAAUGCAACUUGUUUUUUAGAGGUGUCGCCUUUGUAAAUAACUUUAGGUCCUGUAGCGGUUGAAAAAGCAGACUCGUGUGAAUAUGUUUUUAAAAAGAGUAGCCAUGCGGUAAAUAAGGAAAGUAUCACUAUUAAGCUAAUGUGUUUAAAGUUUCUUUUACUCGUAAUAAAAAAGAAAAACAUAAUAUUACGCCCCUUUGUCCAAUCCUUUUCAGUUACAUAUAUGCUGUAAAUAUAAAAAAGAGAACAAGGGAUUAAUAUCGUAAGUAGUGGAUAUAAUGGAUGGUAGGAUUUUGUUAAAUGAAAAUCGGCGUAAUGUUUAUUGCUCUGUAAGAAAUGAUUGAGGUGAUGAUUUGCUUGGGUUUAUGUUAACGAAAGAAGAGAAAAAAGAAAUGGAAUACAUAUUGAAGAGAGAGUUAGAAGAACUUUUAUUUGAUUUUGAAGAUGAACGUAUUCAUGACGUUGUAAAAAAGGCGAUGGAAGAAAGAUAUAAAAUCAUUUUUUGUUUGUUUCGAAGAGUCGCUAAUGCAGAGGACUGUAUUCGUUAUGUAAGAAAAAGAACUUUUUAUUAAAAAGUGUUGACGUUCAUGGUUAUUAUAUGAUAAAUUAAUAACCGUCGCUGAUGCGGAAACGCAGAAAACGACAAAAAGAAAUUGAAAAACUUAGUUGACAUUGAAAAACGAAGAUGUUAACAUAAGGAAGUCGCAAAUGAGCGACCAAGUAGUUCUUUGAAAACUGAACGAAACAAACAACGUGAAACGUCAAUUUUUAUUUUAGAUGCUAGACAAACUAACUUUAUUGGAGAGUUUGAUCCUGGCUCAGGAUGAACGCUGGCGGCGUGCCUAAUACAUGCAAGUCGAGCGAAUGGAUUAAGAGCUUGCUCUUAUGAAGUUAGCGGCGGACGGGUGAGUAACACGUGGGUAACCUGCCCAUAAGACUGGGAUAACUCCGGGAAACCGGGGCUAAUACCGGAUAACAUUUUGAACCGCAUGGUUCGAAAUUGAAAGGCGGCUUCGGCUGUCACUUAUGGAUGGACCCGCGUCGCAUUAGCUAGUUGGUGAGGUAACGGCUCACCAAGGCAACGAUGCGUAGCCGACCUGAGAGGGUGAUCGGCCACACUGGGACUGAGACACGGCCCAGACUCCUACGGGAGGCAGCAGUAGGGAAUCUUCCGCAAUGGACGAAAGUCUGACGGAGCAACGCCGCGUGAGUGAUGAAGGCUUUCGGGUCGUAAAACUCUGUUGUUAGGGAAGAACAAGUGCUAGUUGAAUAAGCUGGCACCUUGACGGUACCUAACCAGAAAGCCACGGCUAACUACGUGCCAGCAGCCGCGGUAAUACGUAGGUGGCAAGCGUUAUCCGGAAUUAUUGGGCGUAAAGCGCGCGCAGGUGGUUUCUUAAGUCUGAUGUGAAA
rnacentral:rRNA from 1 species